UGGGGAAUUUUGGACAAUGGGCGAAAGCCUGAUCCAGCAAUGCCGCGUGUGUGAAGAAGGCCUUCGGGUUGUAAAGCACUUUUGUCCGGAAAGAAAUCCUCUGGGUUAAUACCUCGGGGGGAUGACGGUACCGGAAGAAUAAGCACCGGCUAACUACGUGCCAGCAGCCGCGGUAAUACGUAGGGUGCAAGCGUUAAUCGGAAUUACUGGGCGUAAGCGUGCGCAGGCGGUUUUGUAAGACGGAUGUGAAAUCCCCGGGCUUAACCUGGGAACUGCAUUCGUGACUGCAAGGCUAGAGUAUGGCAGAGGGGGGUAAAUUCCACGUGUAGCAGUGAAAUGCGUAGAGAUGUGGAGGAAUACCGAUGGCGAAGGCAGCCCCCUGGGGCCAAUACUGACGCUCAUGCACGAAAGCGUGGGGAGCAAACAGGAUUAGAUACCCUGGUAGUCCACGCCCUAAACGAUGUCAACUAGUUGUUGGGGAUUCAUUUCCUUAGUAACGUAGCU
rnacentral:rRNA from 1 species